rnacentral:rRNA from 1 species
GACGAACGCUGGCGGCGUGCUUAACACAUGCAAGUCGAACGAAGUGGCGAACGGGUGAGUAACGCGUAAUCAACCUGCCCUUCAGAGGGGGACAACAGUUGGAAACGACUGCUAAUACCGCAUACUUACGGAGGGGAUUGCGUCUGAUUAGCUAGUUGGAGGGGUAACGGCCCACCAGGGCGAUGAGCAGUAGCCGGGCUGAGAGGAUUGACGGCCAAAUUGGGACUGGGAAAAGGCCCAGACUCCUACGGUGGGCAGCAGUGGGGAAUCUUCCGAAAUGGACGAAAGUCUGACGGAGCAACGCCGGGUGAGUGAUGACGGCCUUCGGGUUGGAAAGCUCUGUUAAUCGGGACGCGGUACCGGAAUAGAAAGCCACGGCUAACUACGUGCCAGCAGCCGCGGUAAUAC